AUGUGGACCUGUCUUCGUCAGCGCUAUGAGCCCUCUGGUGAUGCCUUAUACCUUUCUGUGGUUCGUCAGGAGCAUGCUCUUCAGCAGGGUGACUCUACUGUUGAUGACUUCUAUGCACAGAGUUCUGCUAUUUGGCUCCAGCUUGAUUCUCUCUGCAGUGCUGGUUGUCGUACUUGUCCCUGUUGCCAGGCUGUCCAGGCCAAUUUGGAGUUUCAUCGCGUCUACGAGUUCCUGUCUCGGCUCCGUAAGGAGUUUGAGCCCCGGCGUGCUCAGUUGUUUGCUCGUGGCCGUAUUUCUCUCAUGGAGGCGCUUUCAGAGAUUCGUGCUGAGGAGACUCGCUUACGUGGUGCUGGUUUGCUGGAGGUUCCCUCUGUGCUCACUACUCGGGCUUCUUCCACUCCACCUGCUGCACCGACCCCUUCUCGCUCGAGUGCUCCGCCGCUCUUGCCCACUCCUUCUGGAGGCUCAGGUCGCCCCCGUCCACAUUGUGACUACUGCAACAAUGAUGGUCAUAUUGAGUCCCAGUGCUACACAAAGCGGAAACACCUACGCAAGGCGCGAUCAUCAUCCUCAGGGACUUCGUCA
rnacentral:rRNA from 1 species